CACGUAGGGCGCGAGCGUUGUCCGGAAUUAUUGGGCGUAAAGAGCUCGUAGGCGGCCUGUUGCGUCCGCUGUGAAAGCCCGGGGCUUAACCCCGGGUCGGCAGUGGAUACGGGCAGGCUAGAGGUAGGUAGGGGAGAAUGGAAUUCCCGGUGUAGCGGUGAAAUGCGCAGAUAUCGGGAGGAACACCGGUGGCGAAGGCGGAUCUCUGGGCCGAUACUGACGCUGAGGCGCGAAAGCGUGGGGAGCGAACAGG
rnacentral:rRNA from 1 species